AUUGAACGCUGGCGGCAUGCUUUACACAUGCAAGUCGAACGGCAGCACAGGGAGCUUGCUCCUGGGUGGCGAGUGGCGAACGGGUGAGUAAUGUAUCGGAACGUGCCUGGUAGUGGGGGAUAACUACUCGAAAGAGUGGCUAAUACCGCAUGAGAUCUUUGGAUGACAGCGGGGGACCUUCGGGCCUCGUGCUACUGGAGCGGCCGAUAUCAGAUUAGGUUGUUGGUGGGGUAAAGGCCUACCAAGCCUGCGAUCUGUAGCUGGUCUGAGAGGACGACCAGCCACACUGGGACUGAGACACGGCCCAGACUCCUACGGGAGGCAGCAGUGGAGAAUUUUGGACAAUGGGCGCAAGCCUGAUCCAGCAAUGCCGCGUGCAGGACGAAGGACUUCGGGUUGUAAACUGCUUUUGUACAGAAAGAAAAGUCUCUGGCUAAUAUCUAGAGAUCAUGACGGUACUGUAAGAAUAAGCACCGGCUAACUACGUG
rnacentral:rRNA from 1 species